ACUUCCCUGCAGUAGCACUUUCUGCGUUUUAGGGGACAUUAUCUAUCAUGGGAAGGGAUCCUAGCAGUUGGUACGUGAAUGGAGCCGUCUCCGAGAAGUCUUUCAUUGAGCACACAGUCCUCUGAAGGGAAAGAGAAACAUGCUGUACAUGAACAUUAGUGGCAGCUGAAAUUUGUCACACUGAAGAUCAAAAAACACAGCCAGCUUCUGAGAGUUUAUCUGCCGCAAAAUGAAUCGCCCAGAGACCCCUGGUGCAUCUUUCUUUACACUUCACCUCCCCCACUACGGAUGAGAAAUAGACUUUUCCCUCAUCCAUCAUAAGUCAGCAUGACAGGGCUGUCGUUCCCCAGGCCCGGCUCACUGUAUCAUCCUUCCCUCUGUCCUGCUUCAGUGCAUGGCUGGCUUGCUUGGGAACAGCCGAGACCUUUACAAAAGACUUUAAAUGGUAAACCCCCAAAUAAUAAUAAUAAUAACAACAACAAUAAUAAACAGUAGCUA